rnacentral:sRNA from 1 species
UAACUUGGUAUUUUUAGUCCUGAGCCUGUAUGAUAUUUAUCUCCUUUUGGAGGGUGAGGAUAUCUUUUUAAAAAAUUGAUGCAUAAUGUACAUAUUUGGGGAAUACAUUUGAUAUUUUGAUACAUGUAUAUCAUGUGUAGUGAUCAAAUCAGGGUAAUUAGGAUAUCCAUCACCCACCUCAAACAUUUAUCUUUCCUUUAUGGCAGAACAUUCCAAUUCUCUUCUAGCCGUUUUGAACUGUGUAAUAUGUUAUUGUUAACUAUAGCCUACUGUGCUAUUGAAUACUAGGUUUUAUUUCUUCUGUCUAGCUAUAUUUAUGUACCAUUGACCAACCUCUUUUCACAUCCCCUUCCUCUCUACACUUCCCAGCCUCUAGUAAGCACCAAUCAACUUUCUAUUUCCAUGAGAUCCACUUUUGUAGCUCCCACAUAUGAAUCAGAACAUGCAGUCUUUGCCUUUCUGUGCCUGGCUUAUUUCACUUAACGUAAUGACCUCUGUUUCUGUUCAUGUUGCUUAAAAUGACAGGAUUUUGUUUUCUUAAUGGCUGAAUAAUAUUCCACUAUGUAUAUAUACAUUUCUUUUUUAAAAAUUUAGUUUGAUGAAGAAUUUCUGGAAACAAAAGAACAGUUGUACAAGUUGCAGGAUGGUAACCACCUGCUGUUCCAACAAGUGCCCAUGGUUGAAAUUGACGGGAUGAAGUUGGUACAGACCCGAAGCAUUCUCCACUACAUAGCAGACAAGCACAAUCUCUUUGGCAAGAACCUCAAGGAGAGAACCCUGAUUGACAUGUACGUGGAGGGGACGCUGGAUCUGCUGGAACUGCUUAUCAUGCAUCCUUUCUUAAAACCAGAUGAUCAACAAAAGGAAGUGGUUAACAUGGCCCAGAAGGCUAUAAUUAGAUACUUUCCUGUGUUUGAAAAGAUUUUAAGGGGUCAUGGACAAAGCUUUCUUGUUGGUAAUCAGCUGAGCCUUGCAGAUGUGAUUUUACUCCAAACCAUUUUAGCUCUAGAAGAGAAAAUUCCUAAUAUCCUGUCUGCAUUUCCUUUCCUCCAGGAGUACACAGUGAAACUAAGUAAUAUCCCUACAAUUAAGAGAUUCCUUGAACCUGGCAGCAAGAAGAAGCCUCCCCCUGAUGAAAUUUACGUGAGAACUGUCUACAACAUCUUUAGGCCGUAAAACAACGCAUCCAUGUGUGAGUGAGAGCGUGUUCCUAGAGAUGGUUCUGUCUACGGUCAUGUCUUAAUGGAUCCCAGCUCUGUCAUGGUGCUAUGUAUUAAGUUGGGUCCUAAGUUGGGUCUUUUGUGUCAAAGAGAUCAUCUCUUCUAGAAAUAUCAACCUUUUUUGUCCAGUAAAUAAUUGUUAGGGGAUCUUUUUUGGAAAACUUUUUUGGAGAGGCUGGUAUCGGGCUACUCAUGUACUGUAGCCAGUUCAUCCUCCUAAUAAGAAUGGGCAGCAUCUCUUGUUCUCUCCUGAGCGUCUUUCUGCUCUCCUUAUCUUGUUCUCUUAUCUUUAUCCCCUCCAGUCUCUGCCUAAUUUUUAGUGUUUAACAACAACCGAAUGUCCAGUAAACGACUCUCCUCUGAGCUGUAAUAAAUAAAAUGGUAUUAAUGAAUGCAAUCAGUAUUAGUCAAAAUAAAGAAUUUAUGAGUCAUUGCUCA